GACAGAGGGGGCAAGCGUUGCUCGGAAUUACUGGGCGUAAAGGGCGCGUAGGCGGGAUGGCAAGUCGGUCGUGAAAUCCCUCGGCUCAACCGAGGAACGUCGAUCGAUACUGCUGUUCUUGAGGAUUGCAGAGGAGACUGGAAUUCCCGGUGUAGCGGUGAAAUGUGUAGAGAUCGGGAGGAACACCGGUGGCGAAGGCGGGUCUCUGGGCAAUUCCUGACGCUGAGGCGCGAAGGCGUGGGGAGCAAACGGG
rnacentral:rRNA from 1 species